rnacentral:lncRNA from 10 species
UGCUACUUUCUUCAUUGCCUCCACAGUUUCUAUAAGGAAAAGGCAAAAUCUUCAUACCUGCAGAAUUAGCGCCACAUAGAUGCUGCCAAAGGGUUUUCUGCCUGUGCCCUCUGGAGAGGUGACAUCACAUCCCCCACUGCACCAGGGCCCAUUGAGCAACACUUGGAGCAACCAAGGGGUGCCACACCAGAAUGUGGGGACCAGUGACUUCAGGGAUUGCUGGGAAGCAAGCCCCAAGGUCCCCAGGGCACCCUAGGGCCUUCCUUGGAAACUGUACUGCCCUCAAUGCUCUGGCAACAUGGUCCUGUGAUGAGAGUGCAGCCCAAGCAAUUUACAAAACACCUUCCGGGUUGCUCUUUCAUUGUCCUGGUGAAGAGUACAGUCCUGAUCCAUGUCUCCUGAUUCACAACCUUUGUGUUCUCUCCCACACUUUAUUUGUUAAAAUAUGGACAGGCUGAGAAGAAUAAAAAUUUCCCAAAUCUUUAAGUUCUGCUUCCCUUUUGAUAACUUCUGUCUCUAAAUCAUUC